rnacentral:lncRNA from 1 species
CGAUAACCUGGCCAAACUCCGCUCUAGCCAGUCCUCUGGCUGGCAGCCGUGACCUGGUGGAUGCUACCCAGGAUUUUCCUAGAGGGAGGGGGGAGAAGGGGGAAAAUGGUCCGUGGGCAGCUUCUUCUCUGUCAAGUGGGACUCACAGGAAGAAAUGGAAAUAAGUGAAUUCUCAAGGGAGACCUCAGUGUGGUUCAGAAUGGGAAAGCCCUGCUUGUCUCUACACGGCUUGUGAGGUUUUCACAAUCCACACCUGGCCCAGAGCUGGCCUCAGACAUGUCGAUUGUGCCAGACUAAAUCUACAAGCCCCGAGAGCGGGAAUCCGUGCGGCUGUGCAGUCUGUCACUUCUCCUGUCCUCCGUCUGCUUCCAGCAAGAAGAAAAUGUGGUGUGGCCGUUGACCCCCGAGCACCCCUCUCACCACCAAGGCAGGAAGUGGGUGACAAGCACAGACAGUGUGGAGGAGGGGAUAGAAUGGGGUCUGGAGUCCCAGAGCUCCACAUUCUCAGUCCUGGCUGUAACUGUGGACAUGACUUUUCCCCUCCAAGCCUCGGUUUUCUUAUCUGUAGAAUGGGUGCAAUGCUUGUAAUAACCCCCUUCUGUUGAUAUGGAGAAUAGAGGAAGCCUGGGUAUAGAACUAGGCACAGGAGAGGUACUCAGAAAACAGCAACUGUUUCUAUUAUGUGGAAGCGGUGGCUGAAGCCCUCUCCCCUCACCCAAUCUCUCAAACCCAGUUUGACUCCUCAUGGUCAAACAUGAGAUAGUAAGUGUAGUGGUUAAGAGCAUGAGGCCUAGGCCUGACUGCCUGGGAUCGUAUCCUGCUCUACCACUUGCUAGCUGUGUGAUCCUGGACAGGUGACUUAACCUCUCUGGACCUUUUUUCUCCAUUUAUGAAAUAAGUGUAAUAAGAGUCCCAGCUCCUGGAACUGCUGUGAUGAUCAGAUGGGUUCACAAAGUUUAAGUAAAGGGCUAGGAUCCUGCCAGGCACAUGAUAGGGGCUAUAGGAGCAUUUGUUGCUCUUCCGGAAUUGCAGGGGAGGAGGGACCUGGUGGCUCCUGCACAAUUUACAAGGGACUCAGGGACCGGGAUGGGAAGGAGGAGCUGGAGAAGAAUCCUGAUGUGAAUCAGCAGGGAAUUUCAUAAAG